rnacentral:rRNA from 1 species
AGGACGAACGCUGGCGGCGUGCUUAACACAUGCAAGUCGAACGGAAUCCAACUAGUGGCAACACUGGAGAAGAUUUAGUGGCGAACGGGUGAGUAACACGUGAGAAACCCACCCCGGACUCAGGAAUAACAGUGGGAAACCACUGCUAAUACCGGAUGCCUCCGCCGAACCGCAUGGUUUGGUGAAGAAAGGUUUACCGGUCCGGGACGGUCUCGCGGCCUAUCAGCUUGUUGGUGGGGUGAUGGCCUACCAAGGCGACGACGGGUA